rnacentral:rRNA from 1 species
AGGAUGUUACCUGUCUUUAUUGAUUGGUAAUGCCCUUGCGUUUUCAUAGGCUGCCAUGUGUGUUAUUCAGAACCUUAAUAGGAUUUAAGUGGUGGCACAGAAUCGGAGGCCCCGACUGUUUACUUAAAACACAGCUUUCUGCGACGGAUAAUAUCUUUGUAUAGAAAGCGAAUUUUGCCCAAUGCCAUUAAUAUAAGGUCGAUAAGCGCUUUCGUAAUUAUUGGCUGAAGUUCUGGUCAAUGGCGGUCUUAUCUAUGAGGAUCCUAAGGUAGCAAAAUUAAUUGUCCAUUAAAUGUGGUCCUGACUGAAUAAAGUAACGAUGGUCUCGCUGUCUCUACAAGUAUCUCAGUGAAAUUGAAUUAGCCGUGCAGAUGCGGUUUAACUUCGGGUAGACGGGAAGACCCUAUGCAGCUUCUACUGA